GCACUGCUGAGGAGUCCCACAAUAGGACGGAACGGCCGUUCAAUGC
rnacentral:hammerhead_ribozyme from 1 species